rnacentral:lncRNA from 1 species
CCAGCCAAGUGGUAAAUGAUAAGGCAAAUUUCGUGGGUGCCCUCCUCAAACAGAGAGACAGGGGAGAACUCCCAGAAGUCUGUCCCACUUCCCUUUCCAGUUAGUGGCAAGUAGGGACUCCAGGAGUAGGGAAUACCGAGGAGGUAUGAGUUUCAGAGUUGAAGUCAUCUUGCAGAAUGAGAAGUUUCUGGAAAUUGGAAAUAUCAAUCAGCAUUUUGCCAUAUUGAGAAGUUCUUCAGAAAAAUGUUCCAUUGAGGAGUUCAACCAAAGGUUGGCUAGAAUGAGGAAGCUCUGCUUGGUUCCACCUCUGCCGAACAUUAUACCUCCUCCAGGAUAAGCUGA